rnacentral:snRNA from 1 species
CCAGCUCUCUUUGCCUUUUGGCUCAGAUCAAGCGUAGUAACUGUUCUUGUUAGCUUAAUCGCUAGCAGUCCUGCCACCACAGGACCUUCUGAUUAUCAAUAUUUGGACCUCGCAAGUGGCCUCUGUGCUUGCAUAUGUCUCUUGCACUGUGUCACUGGGCUCACACUACCCCCGGUCGACGCGACUUUUU